rnacentral:rRNA from 1 species
UGUCUUUUUGAAAAUAAUAUAAAGUCUAAUCUGCCCACUGAUUUAAUAUUAAAGGGCUGCAGUAUAUUGACUGUACAAAGGUAGCAUAAUCAUUAGUCAUUUAAUUGAUGACUUGUAUGAAGGAUUGGAUGAAAUAUAAACUGUCUCUUAAUUAUAUUUAGAAUUUAAUUUUUUAAUUAAAAAGUUAAAAUAAAUUAGAAAGACGAGAAGACCCUAUAGAGUUUUAUAGAUAAAAUUAAUUGAGAUUAUUUGUAAAGAUUAAAUUAAGAUUAAUUUAUUUAUUUUGUUGGGGUGACAGAAAAAUAUGAAAAACUUUUUAUAUAUUUUAAAACAUUAAUAAGUGGUUAAAUGAUCCAGUAUUAUUGAUUAUAAGAAAAAAUUACCUUAGGGAUAACAGCGUAAUUUUUUUUUUUAGUUCACAUAAAAAAAAAAGUUUGCGACCUCGAUGUUGGAUUAAGAUAAAAUUUAAAUGCAGAAG